GAAGGCGUUCAGGUCAAAGCAGCAGGCAUCGCACAGGAUGCAGCCGGCGCACCUGGGGUGCUGCUGCUGGUCGAGGAACUGGCGUCCGAGGGACAGUGGCCGGCCACGGAGACACGCUCGGGCAGUAGGGAGCCGCAGAGGGCUUCUGAGGAGGGGAGCAGUCUGUUGCAGGUAUAGAGAGGUAGGUCUGACAGCGGCGUGAAAACACGGUGGGGGAAGGAUGAGAGAUGUUGCCUUUUAGUCUAGAGGUGAUGGGGUUAAACCAGAGCGUGUGUGACACAGGAACACACAGGUGAUAACACGGAGACACGCAGGUGACAUGGGAACACACAGGUGAUAACACGGAGACACGCAGGUGACACGGGAACACACAGGUGAUAACACAGAGACAUGCAGGUGACAUAGGAACACACAGGUGAUAACACAGAGACACGCAGGUGACACAGGGACACACAGGUGAUAACACGGAGACACGCAGGUGACACGGGAACACACAGGUGAUAACACGGAGACACGCAGGUGACACGGGAACACACAGGUGAUAACACGGAGACACGCAGGUGACACGGGAACACACAGGUGAUAACACGGAGACACGCAGGUGACAUGGGAGCACACAGGUGACACACGGGAACACGGAGCAGACCUACUACUGAGGGGAGAGCAGGUGCUGACCCGUCCAUGUGGAGGGACACCACUCAGUGGACGAGUUCCUCCCCCAGGCCACACUGCCUGUGCGUCCCCCGGUGGGAGAGAGUCGCAGACGACACCACGCGUGCCUGUCUCUCUCAGUAUUGUGACAGGAACACACGGGGAAGAGGAGACACAGCACUGCCCCAGAGAAGCAGCGGAACUGCAGCGCACCGGAGCGUGUGUGUGUUGAGCGUCACGAAGACACACGUGAGCAUCACGGGCGCCCAGGGCAGCUUUUGACUGGCAUGGCUACCGGAAGACGGCGGCUCUGACGGCAGGGGCGCGGCACGAAAGUUUCCUGCAAGUCGCGACCUGGGGAGUGCACGGUGGGCCCAGGCCCCGUCGCCCAGCCCUGCGGACGUCAGCGUCCACCCGCCUUCGCCCCCGCUCCCUCCUCACACUGGGUGGGUUUGAAGCAAACUCAGCCAUCGUGCUUUGUUCAUAAAUCUCGAAUUGGGAUAUCUUUGAGCAGGGGACCCCAAGCAGAGCCAAAACACUGGUGCCACACCUGCGAGAGGUUUAGUGCUCCUUGCCGCGAGCACGCGCCAGUCAUGGUCCGUUCUCGGAUGCCCACCCCGUUCUUCAGCUGGCGGGUUGAUAGCUAAGGGCCAGGUCCUGCGUUCGUGGCUGUGUGUCCUGGAUUUCCCAUCAUCGGCAUAGGGCCUGUCUGUCUUUUUCCCCUUGCACUUUAGCUGUUAAGGAAAUCAGGGUAUUCACACGCCUUCGAAGGGCGCGUGAGCUCUGACAGUGUCUGCAGAGGCUUCCGGUUUUCCCAUCUCGAGGGUGGGUGCUGCCAGCCUCUUGUAGGCAGAGGCCAGGAGGCCGUAAACGCCUCGCAGCGCACAGGGUGGCCCCGCAGAAGUCCGUCCAUGGGGCUGCGGCACAGAAACCUGCAGCUGCCCCCGCAGCCCAGGUUUGCAGAUGGCGUCCCUGGGUGGUCCACAGGCCCCCUGUCCUUGUACUUUCUGGAAACUGGCGGUCAGACCCCGAGACCUGGUCAGGUGGAAGCUGGGCUUGGAGACGGCAGCACUUAUUUCUGUGUCACGGGGUGUCACGUCGUCUCUGCCACGGCAGCGGUGACCAUUUGGUCCAUCCAUUAUAAAUUGUAGACGGGGACAAGCUUGGGAGACCGGCGACUGGGGUUGCCUGCUUGUUGGACGUAGGGAGGAGGAGUGGGAUCCACCUGGAGUUGAAGGCCGUGGACCCCGUGAGGCUCGAGCCUGCAGCAUCACUCCUUCUGAGCACUAAACCAAGAGCGCUGUGACACCAUGGAAGCCCUCCGAGGGUGGGAGGCAGCUGCCCACCGCGUUCCGCCCUGGCCCUGCCCCCCUCCACUCCACGGGCACCCAGGACGGGGCCAUGGCCGUCACUCCCCUAUCAGAGGACUCGGGGUGGCGGGAGUGGGAGAUCUGUGUGAGUGCUGGCUGUGGGCAGCCGUGUCGGGUGCUGAGUAGGAGCGUCUGCUCAUGCUGCCGGUGGUCCGGGCAGCUUCCUCUGUCCUCCGCCUGGUGACCCUGCUGGCCUUCCUGCUGUCCCCAGGCCUGCAGCCUUCCAUCAGGGUGAUUCUUGGCAGACUUCGUCUUUCUUUUCUUUAUUGUUUUACAAUUUAUUUUGUUUGUUUCAAAGGCAAAAUUACAGGAGAGAGAGAGAAAUUGAUUGAUUGCUCUUCCGUCUGCUAGUUUACUCCCUAAAUGGCUGCAAUACCCUGGGGAAGCCAGGAGCCUGGAACUCCAUCCUGGCUUCUCAUGUAGGUGGCCGGGGACCGUGCACUUGGGCCAUCAUCUGCUGCUUUCCCAGGCACAUUAGCAGAGAGCUGCGUUGGAAGUGGAGCAGCCAGGACUUGAACCGGUGCCUGUGUGGGAUGCCAGUGCUGCUGAAUCUGCUGCCGAUGCUGGCCCCUGCAGAUCUCUUUUUCACACAGAUACACACAAAGCUGUCAGAUGGCUCAGCUCAGGGCUGUCAGACAAGCAGAUGUGCUGGGCUCGUCAUGCUCUCCCACAGGGGGGCCAGGGACCCAGGCACUUGACCAUCCCCGCAGCCUCCCAGGGUGACGUUAGAGGAAGCUGGAAUCAGGAGCCAGACCUGAGACUCCACCCCAGGCACUCUGAUGUGGGUUGUGGGCGUCUUGAGUGAGAGGCUGAAAAGCCUACUCCCACCCACAGUUUUAGAAAGCGUUGUGGAUCCGGGAUCUGCCUGCUUCCUGCACAGGCCCGCCAGCUCCUGGGGCUGCUGCUCCGCGCGGCCGACCUCCCCAGCCGGGACCUCUCUGCCGCUGGAGCCGGUGGUGGUUUGGCCUCCAGGAGGGCACCCCCACCCGCGCCUGCUGCCCACGCAGGACAGUGCUGUCUCCUCUCUCCCUCGUCCCUGCCAGGCAGCCUGGUUCACUCCUGUAGCUUCAGUCACCAUUUCGAUACCAUGGACUCCGGAGUCCUGUCCUGCUCCGACGGGGGUGUCCUGGGUGCCCCUGGAGACAGGAGGUGAGGAAGGCCAUCCGUGCCACA